UCUCACGAAGGGCAACCUAACUUGAUAUGUAAACAAACCACAGCCUAACGGGAGUAUAUUGUAACGAAUCACUGAGUGUCAGCCAAUCACAACACCCAAGCUUCAGCCAGUCACAGUGGGUCAACUGAUUAGAGCGUGUCUAUAUAAGGGAGACGCCAAGCUCCAACUAAUGAUUUUUGCAGGCAGUGAGUUUUAUGCUGUCUACCCACUUUGCUGGGUGGGGCUCUGUGAACUUUUACUAGUUCUUGGGUACUGCCCAAUUCGUGCAUGCUUUUUUGCUCAAAAGAACUCCGCUAAAUUUAAUUUAAAGUUUUUAUUCUAACAUGAGACUAAGACUACUCUUUUUCUCAUGAGACUUUGUAUGAGGGAGAACAGUCGCUAAUUAACAUCCAGUUAUUGAAAUCAGGCAGUCUUGAAAUCCAGCUGAUGCUGCUUAGCAGAGAAGCGGUUGCUUGGAGGUAGAGUUGAUUAGGUAGACUGGAAGGGAAAAUAUUUAAGUUAAAUGUGUUAAAAUAUUUGAAGGACUAAAACGAAAUCCUUGAGAUGUUUGGAUUUUAGAAAUCCCCGCGUGCAAAAACGUCCGGAGUGGGCAUGCAUCAUUUUACGUAAUGCUGGACCCUGAAGGAUGGAUGAGAUUUUGACAGAAAGUGAUGGACAGGAAGAGAAAGAAUCAUCACAAGUUAGAAGAAAAUCACAAGUCUGACCUAUACUUAAAGGGAGAAGAUUAUGCAGGAGCAAAAGCACGAGAUGGGAACCAUGGGGCCUUGGGAGAGUCUGCCACGGAAAGAGAAGCACAAAUCCUGUGAGUCUCUAGAUUGUGUUUUUUCUAUAUAUGCUCAAAGAUUUAAGGAUAAAAUGAUACCUAAACCAAAAUAAUAGUAUAUUAUGAACAUACCUUUCUUGUUUUAACCUGUCUUACAUGUUUGCUUUCCAAUAUAUCAAAGAUUGUGUUUGUAAACCUCAAAUAAGUAAUUAUCCGGAUAUACUUGACUCUCAGAAAAUACAUUUUUUCCCAAGGCAGUGAUAAUUAUGCUUUGCAGCUCUGGAGAUACUACUUUGAGCAAAGAAAAUAGAAGCUUAGAAAAAAAUAUGCCUAAGUAUCAGGGUGUCUUGUAAUUCAGUUCAAAUUCUUAGAGCUUCUUUCUAUUCUAAUAUUCUUUGGUAUGAUCCCUGAUAAGUAUUCAGUGUAUAUGGUAACACAAACAGGCUUAAAUUGGGGACAGCUUUAAUACUGGCUGGUAAGAAAUUUAUAGAUGAGAUGAAAGAGCUAUUCUGUAGUCAUCUUUUCUCCUACAUCUUACUGAGCAGAA